CCCUUAGAUGUUCUGGGCCGCACACGCGCUACACUGAAGGAGGCAGCGUGUACUCCUGGAUCGAAAGAUUUGGGUAACCCGCGAAUCUCCUUCGUGCUAGGGAUUGAGGUUUGCAAUUCUCCUUCAUGAACGAGGAAUUCCCAGUAAGUGCAAGUCAUAAGCUUGCGCUGACUACGUCCCUGCCCUUUGUACACACCGCCCGUCGCUACUACCGAUUGAAUGAUUUAGUGAGGACUUCGGACUGGGACCGAUGCGGCUUUCGGGCUGCGUCGGUAUUCUGGAAAGAUGUCCAAACUGUAUCAUUUAGAGGAAGUAAAAGUCGUAACA
rnacentral:rRNA from 1 species